UUGCAAAACCCGUUGGUUUAACCGGGACAAUCCUUCUGGUGUGGGGGAUGAAGAACGCCUCUCUGACCUCCAGCGGGAGAACCCCCAUGAGAUUUGCUCAGCUCCAACUGGGAUCGAGGCCCAGACCGUGGACGGCAUCCCAGCUUCACUAACUGGGCAAGAGUUUGCAGUGAAUGAUGCCAGGGCUGGCUUUGUCUGCCUCAAUGCGGAGCAAGGGAAAGGCCACCGUUGCCGUGACUACCGGGUGCGGUUCACCUGCCCUCCAUCUUUCUGUUCCGGUAA